UAAAAAUUUGGUUUUGGUUUAAAGUUAGCGCUUAUCUUUUAGAAAUGCAUGAUUGUUUUAGCGAAGUUGUAAAGUAACAGGAAUUUAUUUUAUUAUAUUAUAAAUAUAAAAAAUUAAUUCUUCUCGAUAUUAGAAAAUUUGAUAAUGUUGAAUACAAGUUCAGUGUUGAAUAUUUAUAAAAUUAAGGAAACUUAGAUUUAGAAUAAGAAAAAAGAACUAGUAAAAAUUGUGCCAGCAUCUGCGGUUAGACAAAGAGUUCAAGUUAAUGAAACAUUAUGGGUAAUAUAGUUAUUAUUGGUAUAAAGUUAAAUUUCAAUAAAUAUGAGGGUGAAAUCUAUAUUAUAUAUUUUAUAUUAGAAAUCUAAAUUUAACUUUAUUUAUAAGAAGCUAUGAAAUUCUUUAAUAAAACUAGGAUUAGAUACCCUAUUAUUAAGAACAAAAAUUUAUUAACCAGAGUAUUACGAAUGCUAUGUUUAAUUUUAAUUAAAUAGAGCGGUUUAAAACUUAAAAAACUUGGCGGUGCUUAGUAUCUAUUCAGGGGGGCCUGGGCUAUGAUUUGAUAGUCCACGAUAUACCUUUCUUUUUUUGUUUGUUUGUAUACUUCCGUCUUAAGCUAAUCUUUAAGAGUGUUAUAAUUAGCUAAUAAAAAAUAAAUAUUUUUAGGUCAGGUCAUAGUGCAGCUUAUAAAAAAGUAGUUAUGGGUUUAUUUUUAAAUUGAAUAUAGUAUAAUUUUGCAAUAAAAUUAUAAUUAAAACUUGAUAGUAAGAUUGAUUUUAUGAAGAAUGGUCUGAAUAAGUUCACAGGCGUGCACAUAUCGCCCGUCACUCUCGUUGGUAUAAAUGAGAUAAGUCGUAACAUAGUAGAAGUAGUGGAAGCUGUUUCUA
rnacentral:ncRNA from 1 species